GAUGAAUCCAAGAAAGAUGAAUUUUGAAAAUGAAAGGGAUAAAAAAAAUUCAUUUCUGUAAAUACAGCCUGAAGCUUCGAGCUCAUUUGAGUGUUAGGAAUCACAAGGAUGUAUUCACAAAGUCUGACUACCAGAGGCAGAUCUGGGGGUUUGGGGACAACGGGCAGACCGAAGUGCUGCUCCAAAAGAUUGCCAAGGUGAAGGCCACAGGUGGUAGCUCUUUUUGGAAAUGAGCAAAGUAAUGGCUCCUCUGCACAUGGAGCAGAAGCUGCAUGUGAUUCUUCAGCCCCUAAACGAAUGCACAGACAGCCUCAUGUCCCUGCUUCUUACCCUGCAUCUGUAUGUGCCACGGACAGGCGAGGUGUGCCGAUCUCCGAGGCAGUGAGGGUUUCCAGUGCAGUUGCCUUUUACUGCCAAACCACAGUUUCUCUGAAUUAAACACUCUCUCUAAAUAAUACCAGUAGCCAUUUGUUGAUUGCCAGGACUCUCUGUGAUGUAGCUAUCAGCAUCGUUGACAAUGAAGAAACUACAGGUUAGAAUGUCUACCCAGGUCUCCGGACAUCACACACCCACGUCCUUCUGACUCCGUGUGCUCUUUGCUUUCACAACACAGACACUCACCUCUGUCAUGGUGGCCGGUUGGACAGAAGCACGGCUGGAUCCAGGGACCUUCCUCCCACUGGCUUCACCCACCUCUGCAUAAAACGGGUAGCAUCACUGCAAAUAGUUAAGAACCGUUAGCGUCUUAUCCAUCUCCUUCCUGUUCCCUCGCUGACUUCUGAUACGGCUUUAUAAAACCGGCACUGAGGAAGAGAAGAUAAAAUUAAUUGACAAAAUGAAUUAAUAUAAUAAAAUUAUAUUUAACAAAGAUAAAAUUAAUUAACAAAGGCUAGCUUGAGGAAGAGUAUACAAAUAAAAUUUAGUAGGGGAUAUGGGCUCUUUAAAAAUGAAAUAUAAUUCACGUACAGUGUUCUACUGUUCUCAGGCGUUGAAUGAACCGGAUAAUUCCCCGCUUACACCCCUCAGGAAAUUCAGGAUUCCACAGAUCCUAUGGAGUUGUGGGAUACAACCAGGAGCCUCCACAUUUUAUGUUAACUUCAACAGUCCUGUGGAGACCAAGGCAAUUUUGCUUUGGUUAAGCAGGAUGUAUUUUCAUUUUUAAGAAAACCUUCAGGUAGGUUUAUUCAAUUCUCUUAAAAAAUUGGUAGGAUUCUUUUUAAGUAUCCUUUCCAAAGCAACAGUUACAUAAUUGGAAUAGUGGAUUCAGUAUAAAAAAUGUAGUUCCUAGUUAAUGCUGUUUGCGUAUGAUCAUGAUUAAAGAUUAGGAUAGUCUUCACAUUUCCAAG
rnacentral:lncRNA from 1 species